AUAAUCUCCGACGACGAGCUGCCCAGCAGCAGUUCUGCGGAGACCACGAAAGGCAAAGGGCAGCCGUCACUGGCGCCGGCGGCUGGAUCGGCGGCGACGCGUGCGCUCUAUAUCAUCAGCUACCAAGGCUAACUCGAUCUCGGCCUGUGUGUUCAUGCAUGCCUUGUUAUUGUGCUCGGAACUAGGGCAUUGGUACAACGUAAUCUUCACCGCCAUCACCUUCCUCUACUCCAUGGUCAUGAUCCACCUGUGGCUUAUCAAACGGCGAGACCAGAAGAAGACAUGUGAGACCGAAGCAUGCGAAUUGACAACUGUUAUUAGCACACCCGGAGCGCGAGAGUUGAUGCUGCUGGCAACCGGGAUCAUGUUAAUCUCCUUGGGGGUAGCAAUCUUCGUAUUUCGCCCAGAUUCCUAUGACUUGGCCUUCGUUGCUCUCACGGUGUUUUUAUCAACGGCGGUCACGUUUAUAUUCCUCAAAGAUGCGGAAGUUCAAAGGAAGCUAGCCUUCAGAAGAACUUAACGCUGCCGCAGAUCUAGUCUAGUUCCAAGGCAUUGGCAUCUAAAAUGCAACUGCCAAGUUUGUUUUAUUUACUGAAUAA